ACCUUGCUGACGACUCCCAAAUAGGACGAAACCCGGGUUCAGGGU
rfam:Schistosoma mansoni strain Puerto Rico chromosome 1, complete genome